AGAGUUUGAUCCUGGCUCAGAUUGAACGCUGGCGGCAUGCCUUACACAUGCAAGUCGAACGGUAACGCGGGGGCAACCCUGGCGACGAGUGGCGAACGGGUGAGUAAUACAUCGGAACAUAUCCAGUAGCGGGGGAUAACCUAUCGAAAGAUGGACUAAUACCGCAUACGAUCUACGGAUGAAAGCAGGGGACCGCAAGGCCUUGCACUAUUGGAGUGGCCGAUGUCGGAUUAGCUAGUUGGUGGGGUAAAAGCUUACCAAGGCGACGAUCCGUAGCUGGUCUGAGAGGACGAUCAGCCACACUGGAACUGAGACACGGUCCAGACUCCUACGGGAGGCAGCAGUGGGGAAUUUUGGACAAUGGGCGCAAGCCUGAUCCAGCCAUGCCGCGUGAGUGAAGAAGGCCUUCGGGUUGUAAAGCUCUUUCGGUGAAGACGAAACGGUUCAUGCUAAUAACGUGAACUAAUGACGGUACUCACAGAAGAAGCACCGGCUAACUACGUGCCAGCAGCCGCGGUAAUACGUAGGGUGCAGGCGUUAAUCGGAAUUACUGGGCGUAAAGCGUGCGCAGGCGUUUGCUAAGACAGGUGUGAAAUCCCCGGGCUUAACCUGGGAAUUGCGCUUGUAACUGGCAAGCUAGAGUGUGGCAGAGGGGGGUGGAAUUCCACGUGUAGCAGUGAAAUGCGUAGAUAUGUGGAGGAACACCGAUGGCGAAGGCAGCCCCCUGGGUUAACACUGACGCUCAUGCACGAAAGCGUGGGGAGCAAACAGGAUUAGAUACCCUGGUAGUCCACGCCCUAAACUAUGUCAACUAGUUGUCGGGGAAGAAAUUCCUUGGUAACGAAGCUAACGCGUGAAGUUGACCGCCUGGGGAGUACGGCCGCAAGGUUAAAACUCAAAGGAAUUGACGGGGACCCGCACAAGCGGUGGAUUAUGUGGAUUAAUUCGAUGCAACGCGAAAAACCUUACCUACCCUUGACAUGCUAGGAAGCCCGCAGAGAUGUGGGUGUGCCCGAAAGGGAACCUAGACACAGGUGCUGCAUGGCUGUCGUCAGCUCGUGUCGUGAGAUGUUGGGUUAAGUCCCGCAACGAGCGCAACCCUUGCCAUUAGUUGCUACAUUCAGUUGGGCACUCUAAUGGGACCGCCGGUGACAAACCGGAGGAAGGUGGGGAUGACGUCAAGUCCUCAUGGCCCUUAUGGGUAGGGCUUCACACGUAAUACAAUGGUCGGUACAGAGGGCUGCCAACCCGCAAGGGGGAGCUAAUCCCAGAAAGCCGAUCGUAGUCCGGAUUGUAGUCUGCAACUCGACUGCAUGAAGCCGGAAUCGCUAGUAAUCGCGGAUCAGCAUGUCGCGGUGAAUACGUUCCCGGGUCUUGUACACACCGCCCGUCACACCAUGGGAGUGGGUUCCACCAGAAGUAGUUAGCCUAACCGCAAGGAGGGCGAUUACCACGGUGAGAUUCAUGACUGGGGUGAAGUCGUAACAAGGUAGCCGUAUCGGAAGGUGCGGCUG
rnacentral:rRNA from 1 species